rnacentral:lncRNA from 1 species
GCGGGCCCGUCGUCUCCUGCGCCGACAUCACCCUGCUCGCCACCCGCGACAUCAUCGUCAUCUCCGGCGGGCCCUGGUUCAACGUGCCGCAGGGAAACCUCGACAGCCUCGCCCCCGCGGCGCAGGCCAAGGUGUUCGACCUCCCGGCGCCCAACACGGCCAGCGUGGCGACGCUGGUGGAGUCCUUCGGCACCAGGGGCCUCGGCGACGUGGCCGACCUCGUGGCGCUCUCCGGCGCGCACACCAUCGGGCGGUCGCAGUGCGGCAGCUUCGAAGACCGGUCCCAGCGCGCCGACGACACCUUCUCCCGCAAGCUCGCCGCCAACUGCAGCAAGCACCCGGACCGGCUGCAGAACCUGGACGUGAUCACCCCGGACCUGUUCGACAACGCGUAC